rnacentral:rRNA from 1 species
AGAGUUUGAUCCUGGCUCAGGACGAACGCUGGCGGCGUGCCUAACACAUGCAAGUCGAACGGAACUGUUUUGAAAGAUUUCUUCGGAAUGAAUUUGAUUUAGUUUAGUGGCGGACGGGUGAGUAACGCGUGAGUAACCUGCCUUCAAGAGGGGGAUAACAUUCUGAAAAGAAUGCUAAUACCGCAUGACGUAUCGGAACCACAUGAUUCUGAUAUCAAAGAUUUUAUCGCUUGAAGAUGGACUCGCGUCCGAUUAGUUAGUUGGUGAGGUAACGGCUCACCAAGACCGCGAUCGGUAGCCGGACUGAGAGGUUGAACGGCCACAUUGGGACUGAGACACGGCCCAGACUCCUACGGGAGGCAGCAGUGGGGGAUAUUGCGCAAUGGGGGCAACCCUGACGCAGCAACGCCGCGUGAAGGAUGAAGGUUUUCGGAUUGUAAACUUCUUUUAUUAAGGACGAAAAAUGACGGUACUUAAUGAAUAAGCUCCGGCUAACUACGUGCCAGCAGCCGCGGUAAUACGUAGGGAGCAAGCGUUGUCCGGAUUUACUGGGUGUAAAGGGUGCGUAGGCGGCUUUGCAAGUCAGAUGUGAAAUCUAUGGGCUCAACCCAUAAACUGCAUUUGAAACUGUAGAGCUUGAGUGAAGUAGAGGCAGGCGGAAUUCCCCGUGUAGCGGUGAAAUGCGUAGAGAUGGGGAGGAACACCAGUGGCGAAGGCGGCCUGCUGGGCUUUAACUGACGCUGAGGCACGAAAGCGUGGGUAGCAAACAGGAUUAGAUACCCUGGUAGUCCACGCUGUAAACGAUGAUUACUAGGUGUGGGGGGACUGACCCCUUCCGUGCCGCAGUUAACACAAUAAGUAAUCCACCUGGGGAGUACGACCGCAAGGUUGAAACUCAAAGGAAUUGACGGGGGCCCGCACAAGCAGUGGAGUAUGUGGUUUAAUUCGACGCAACGCGAAGAACCUUACCAAGUCUUGACAU